rnacentral:rRNA from 1 species
GACGAACGCUGGCGGCGUGCCUAAUACAUGCAAGUCGAACGCUGAAGGAGGAGCUUGCUUCUCUGGAUGAGUUGCGAACGGGUGAGUAACGCGUAGGUAACCUGCCUGGUAGCGGGGGAUAACUAUUGGAAACGAUAGCUAAUACCGCAUAAUAGUAGAUGUUGCAUGACAUUUGCUUAAAAGGUGCAAUUGCAUCACUACCAGAUGGACCUGCGUUGUAUUAGCUAGUUGGUGGGGUAACGGCUCACCAAGGCGACGAUACAUAGCCGACCUGAGAGGGUGAUCGGCCACACUGGGACUGAGACACGGCCCAGACUCCUACGGGAGGCAGCAGUAGGGAAUCUUCGGCAAUGGACGGAAGUCUGACCGAGCAACGCCGCGUGAGUGAAGAAGGUUUUCGGAUCGUAAAGCUCUGUUGUAAGAGAAGAACGAGUGUGAGAGUGGAAAGUUCACACUGUGACGGUAUCUUACCAGAAGGGGACGGCUAACUACGUG